rnacentral:pre_miRNA from 1 species
AGGAAUCAGAGCUUUUAGGUUCUUUUAAUAAGGAAAAUAUUUUGAAUGACCCUGUCAUUUUUAAACAAGUGGAGGGUGGGGAAGGCUGUGCCCCACGCGCCUGUCUUGGAGGUGGAGUGUGGGACAGCUUGCAAGUUGCUGGCAGGGGAGCAGCACGCGUCCCACGCGCCAGUUUUAUUAUGGGGCCUGUUGCUUUUAAGGCCCAUUGCUCUGGGGUGGAUCAGCAGUGUUGUUUGGGUGAUAGGGGGUGCAGAAUCAAUCAGAGGACCUCCUUUCUUCAAAUAUUGGGAGUUUUCAUGAUGAAGGCCUGGGAGUGGGUUCAAAUGUUGAGGAGGGGCUUAUAGCGCAUGGUUAUUCUGUGGUGGUGGUGGUGGGGUGGGGGGUUGCAACUCAACCAACAUAUUCGAUUCUUUCGGAAGAGUCGGAUAUUUCGGAAUAUAGUGACUCCGUUGAUGACUUUGUGGGGGAUGAGCAGAAAAUCUUAUCCUAAUUGGUUCAUACUCUUCCGAAAGGAAUCGAAUAUGUUGGUUGAGUUGCAACCCCCCACCCCACCACCACCACCACAGAAUAACCAUGCGCUAUAAGCCCCUCCUCAACAUUUGAACCCACUCCCAGGCCUUCAUCAUGAAAACUCCCAAUAUUUGAAGAAAGGAGGUCCUCUGAUUGAUUCUGCACCCCCUAUCACCCAAACAACACUGCUGAUCCACCCCAUAGCAAUGGGCCUUAAAAGCAACAGGCCCCAUAAUAAAACUGGCGCGUGGGACGCGUGCUGCUCCCCUGCCAGCAACUUGCAAGCUGUCCCACACUCCACCUCCAAGACAGGCGCGUGGGGCACAGCCUUCCCCACACUCCACUUGUUUAAAAAUGACAGGGUCAUUCAAAAUAUUUUCCUUAUUAAAAGAACCUAAAA